UCCGGGUUGCUCUGCUGGCUGGGCGCCUCGACUUUGGAUCGAGAGGACGCAGGUUCGAUUCCUGCACCCGGAGCCA
rnacentral:tRNA from 1 species